GGGCGGUUAGCUCAGCGGUUAGAGCGCUGCGUUGACAUCGCAGAGGUCACUGGUUCAAGUCCAGUACCGCCCACCA
rnacentral:tRNA from 1 species